rnacentral:rRNA from 1 species
CCUACGGGCGGCAGCAGUGGGGAAUAUUGGGCAAUGGGCGCAAGCCUGACCCAGCAACGCCGCGUGAAGGAAGAAGGCUUUCGGGUUGUAAACUUCUUUUCUCAGGGACGAAGCAAGUGACGGUACCUGAGGAAUAAGCCACGGCUAACUACGUGCCAGCAGCCGCGGUAAUACGUAGGUGGCAAGCGUUAUCCGGAUUUACUGGGUGUAAAGGGCGUGUAGGCGGGAAAGCAAGUCAGAUGUGAAAACCAUGGGCUCAACCUGUGGCCUGCAUUUGAAACUGUUUUUCUUGAGUACUGUAGAGGCAGACGGAAUUCCUAGUGUAGCGGUGAAAUGCGUAGAUAUUAGGAGGAACACCAGUGGCGAAGGCGGUCUGCUGGACAGCAACUGACGCUGAGGCGCGAAAGCGUGGGGAGCAAACAGGAUUAGAUACCCCAGUAGUC